AACUUCCAGCAAUGUAUCACUUGGCUCUCGCAUCGAUGAAGAACGCAGCGAAAUGCGAUAAGUAAUGUGAAUUGCAGAAUUCAGUGAAUCAUCGAAUCUUUGAACGCACCUUGCACCCAUUGGUAUUCCAAAGGGUAUGCUCGUUUGAGUGUCAUUGUACUCUCACACUCUAAUUAAAUUUGGAGACGUGGACUUGGGUGUUGCUGCUUUGCUGUGGCUCAUCUUAAAUAUGCUAGUGCAACUCAUGGUUGGAUAUAGUACAGCGUGAUAAGUAUCUUCGCUGGCACCUCCUCAAGAGGGUAUCCGAUUGGGGGCUCUGUGCUUCAAACUGUCCCAUCUGGGACGAUCUCUGACAACUUGGCCUCAAAUCGAGUAGGACUACCCGCUGAACUUAAGCAUAUCAAUAAGCGGAGGCU
rnacentral:misc_RNA from 1 species